GAGACGCAGUAAAUUAUAUUUAUUUUUUUAUAAUGAAAAUCAUUGACGAAAUCUCAGAAAAAAGAAUUUGUGACAAAUAAAUACAAAUAUAAGAAUUAUUUCCAUUUUAUUUCCCAUCCCACACAACUAAACCCUGUAAGAAUUAUAUGGAUACUUACAAACAUAAGCUUUUAUGUAUUUAUGCCAACGAAAAGUGCAAAUUUUCAUUACUGAACGUGUCAGUGGGGUGCGAAGGGAAAUGUGCUAGAAUCAGCAAUAAUGGCCCUUAAUGAAUCACAGCGUAACAACAAUGAAUUGUGUAAAUAUAAUGAGAGGCGAUGAAAUUUUUGCGAGUAUGAACAACGAACAAACAGUGAAAACAAAACACCAUAAGUAUGAUAAACAGGCAAAUCAAAAAUACAAACAAAUAUGAGAGAGGUUUUAGUUGUUUGUUUCGUGUAAAGUGGGUGAAAAAUCGAUCGGUUGGGAAAUGGAGGGGGAAAGUAGGAAACGCAGCGCCAGGAAACAGCAGGGUAUACUAUGCAAACCCACUAAUAUUACAGGUAAAGUCUAAAGCGUCAAUUAGCCGAAGUACAGCUAGGUUGAACCAAAGCGAGAAAAUGAUCAAAAACUCAAAAAAGCCGACAGAAACGAAAACAAAAGAUCAACAUCAACAAAAGGCAAUAAAG